rnacentral:rRNA from 1 species
CCUACGGGAUGCAGCAGUGGGGAAUAUUGCACAAUGGGCGCAAGCCUGAUGCAGCCAUGCCGCGUGUAUGAAGAAGGCCUUCGGGUUGUAAAGUACUUUCAGCGAGGAGGAAGGCGUUAGGGUUAAUAACCUUGGCGAUUGACGAUACUUGCAGAAGAAGCGCCGGCUAACUCCGUGCCAGCAGCCGCGGUAAUACGGAGGGUGCAAGCGUUAAUCGGAAUUACUGGGCGUAAAGCGCACGCAGGCGGUCUGUCAAGUCGGAUGUGAAAUCCCCGGGCCCAACCUGGGAACUGCAUUCGAAACUGGCAGGCUAGAGUCUUGUAGAGGGGGGUAGAAUUCCAGGUGUAGCGGUGAAAUGCGUAGAGAUCUGGAGGAAUACCGGUGGCGAAGGCGGCCCCCUGGACAAAGACUGACGCUCAGGUGCGAAAGCGUGGGGAGCAAACAGGAUUAGAUACCCGAGUAGUC